rnacentral:tRNA from 1 species
GGGGCUAUAGCUCAGUUAAAGAACACCUGCUUGGAAUGUAUGAAGGUCCUGGGUUCAAAUCCUGGUAUACCCA